AAAAAUUUUAAAUUUCGGCCAGGUACAGUACCUACACAAAGUUUGGAAACACGGCGAGUGUUUCCGCGCUUCUAACACAGCGGCUUACGGCCAAAGUGUCUCCCUUUUUUACGUGAUAACUCACGUUUGAAUUAUCUCAAAGCAAAUUUUAAAAAAUCUUCUUGGUGAGGAAAGAAUUUACUUUCACCAUGAUUUUUUGUAGAUUUUAGUGAAUUGAAGUUUAUCCCCAAAAGACUAGAUAUAAAGUUUGGAAACAUCGGCGCGCUCGCCAUAUGUUUCCAAG